rnacentral:rRNA from 1 species
GAUGAACGCUGGCGGCGUGCCUAAUACAUGCAAGUCGAGCGAACAGACGAGGAGCUUGCUCCUCUGACGUUAGCGGCGGACGGGUGAGUAACACGUGGAUAACCUACCUAUAAGACUGGGAUAACUUCGGGAAACCGGAUCUAAUACCGGAUAAUAUAUUGAACCGCAUGGUUCAAUAGUGAAAGACGGUUUUGCUGUCACUUAUAGAUGUAUCCGCGCCGCAUUAGCUAGUUGGUAAGGUAACGGCUUACCAAGGCGACGAUGCGUAGCCGACCUGAGAGGGUGAUCGGCCACACUGGAACUGAGACACGGUCCAGACUCCUACGGGAGGCAGCAGUAGGGAAUCUUCCGCAAUGGGCGAAAGCCUGACGGAGCAACGCCGCGUGAGUGAUGAAGGUCUUCGGAUCGUAAAACUCUGUUAUUAGGGAAGAACAAAUGUGUAAGUAACUAUGCACGUCUUGACGGUACCUAAUCAGAAAGCCACGGCUAACUACGUG